rnacentral:rRNA from 1 species
CACCAGUGGGGAAUUUUGGACAAUGGGGGCAACCCUGAUCCAGCAAUGCCGCGUGAGUGAAGAAGGCCUUCGGGUUGUAAAGCUCUUUUGUCAGGGAAGAAACAGCAGCUCUAACACAGUCUGCGAAUGACGGUACCUGAAGAAUAAGCACCGGCUAACUACGUGCCAGCAGCCGCGGUAAUACGUAGGGUGCAAGCGUUAAUCGGAAUUACUGGGCGUAAAGCGUGCGCAGGCGGUUAUGUAAGACAGGCGUGAAAUCCCCGGGCUUAACCUGGGAAUUGCGCUUGUGACUGCAUAGCUAGAGUAUGUCAGAGGGGGGUAGAAUUCCACGUGUAGCAGUGAAAUGCGUAGAGAUGUGGAGGAAUACCAAUGGCGAAGGCAGCCCCCUGGGACAAUACUGACGCUCAUGCACGAAAGCGUGGGGAGCAAACAGGAUUAGAUACCCCGGUAGUCCGGUC